AGAGUUUGAUCCUGGCUCAGAUUGGACGCUAGCGGGAUGCUUUACACAUGCAAGUCGAACGGCAGCGCAAAGAGAGCUUGCUCUCUUUGGCGGCGAGUGGCGAACGGGUGAGUAAUGUAUCGGAACGUGCCCAGUAGCGGGGGAUAACCACUCGAAAGAGUGGCUAAUACCGCAUACGCCCUACGGGGGAAAGGGGGGGAUCGCAAGACCUCUCACUAUUGGAGCGGCCGAUAUCGGAUUAGCUAGUUGGUGGGGUAACGGCCUACCAAGGCUGCGAUCCGUAGCUGGUUUGAGAGGACGACCAGCCACACUGGGACUGAGACACGGCCCAGACUCCUACGGGAGGCAGCAGUGGGGAAUUUUGGACAAUGGGGGCAACCCUGAUCCAGCCAUCCCGCGUGUGCGAUGAAGGCCUUCGGGUUGUAAAGCACUUUUGGCAGGGAAGAAAAGGCGCUGGUUAAUACCUGGCGCUGCUGACGGUACCUGCAGAAUAAGCACCGGCUAACUACGUGCCAGCAGCCGCGGUAAUACGUAGGGUGCAAGCGUUAAUCGGAAUUACUGGGCGUAAAGCGUGCGCAGGCGGUUCGGCAAGAAGGAUGUGAAAUCCCGGGGCUUAACCUCGGAACUGCAUUCUUAACUGCCGGGCUAGAGUAUGUCAGAGGGGGUAGAAUUCCGCGUGUAGCAGUGAAAUGCGUAGAGAUGCGGAGGAAUACCGAUGGCGAAGGCAGCCCCCUGGGAUAAUACUGACGCUCAUGCACGAAAGCGUGGGUAGCAAACAGGAUUAGAUACCCUGGUAGUCCACGCCCUAAACGAUGUCAACUAGCUGUUGGGGCCUUCGGGCCUUAGUAGCGCAGCUAACGCGUGAAGUUGACCGCCUGGGGAGUACGGUCGCAAGAUUAAAACUCAAAGGAAUUGACGGGGACCCGCACAAGCGGUGGAUGAUGUGGAUUAAUUCGAUGCAACGCGAAAAACCUUACCUACUCUUGACAUCUAGCGAAGAUUGUAGAGAUACGAUUGUGCCUUCGGGAACGCUAAGACAGGUGCUGCAUGGCUGUCGUCAGCUCGUGUUGUGAAAUGUUGGGUUAAGUCCCGCAACGAGCGCAACCC
rnacentral:rRNA from 1 species